AAAGAUAUGACCUUUAACCCCCCUGUAGCAUCACCAAGCCUCAAGAAGAAGGAUCAUUUUGUGGUCGGAGCGAUGCUGCUUGACGCCGAGUUGCAGAGAAGACUCGAGUGCGCCCUGACCGCCGCCGAGGACACACAGCUGGACUUUACUGCAGCGCACACACACAAAACCACCCAGCACUGACACACACACACACACAUAAAAUAAAACAACAUUUUAUGGCCAUCAGGAGAGGAAGUACAGCUGCAACCUGAUAGGCAGACCUUCAAAAUAAAAGCCCAAAGUGUCUUCAGGGGUGGAGUUGGACUGUUUUCAUCAUGUUGAUGUGAAGAGUUGUGAUGUUGGGCAACCCGGUGAGUCGAUGCGGAGUGCCCAGUUUGAGUGCCAUGACUGUGCUGUUUAAAUGUCAGAUAUUAAAAAUAAAGACCAGAAAAACUCUUCUUUAA